rnacentral:tRNA from 2 species
CAGGGUGUAGCUCAGCAGGUAGAGUACCGCACUCGGAAUGCGGAAGUCGCGAGUUCGAGUCUCGCCACCCUGACCA